GACGAACGCUGGCGGCGUGCUUAACACAUGCAAGUCGUACGGUAAGGCCCUUUCGGGGGUCCACGAGUGGCGAACGGGGGAGUAACACGUGAGUAACCUGCCCACAACUUUGGGAUAACGCUAGGAAACUGGUGCUAAUACUGGAUAUGUGCUCCUGCUGCAUGGUGGGGGUUGGAAAGCUCCGGCGGUUGUGGCUGGACUCGCGGCCUAUCAGCUUGUUGGUGGGGUAGUGGCCUACCAAGGCGGCGACGGGUAGCCGGCCUGAGAGGGUGACCGGCCACAUUGGGACUGAGAUACGGCCCAGACUCCUACGGGAGGCAGCAGUGGGGAAUAUUGCACAAUGGGCGCAAGCCUGAUGCAGCAACGCCGCGUGCGGGAUGACGGCCUUCGGGUUGUAAACCGCUUUCAGCAGGGACGAAGCUUUUUGUGACGGUACCUGCAGAAGAAGCACCGGCUAACUACGUG
rnacentral:rRNA from 1 species